GUGACAUGUCUCUGGCAGACAGCGCCACCAUGUGUUUGUCAGCUGUAAUAACGCAGCUCAGUGAAGUCGGAUGCCCAGAGGCAGAUGAAGAACGAGAUUGUGCACUACAUCAUACUGGAUACAAUACGAAAAGAUGAGAGAGCUUGUCCUGUCCUUCUCUUACCAACUUUAGUCAACGUUCUUGGAUAUUUCUGCUGGAGAGCAGAGUCUGAUAGCACAAAUCCAGCUGAAGAACAGGAGGGUGAGCAGAAAGAAAUGACAGACAACAUGGAGGAGAAUGAAGAGGAAUACAAGAAGCAGGAGCUUGAGGAGCAACAGACACACCGAAAGUGCCUUUGAAGGUGGGCGUUAAAUCAGUCUUUCUGUUUAUGCUUGACUUCUCUGAAUGAUACAGAUAGAUCGCUGGUAGGAACGUCCUCUGAUUUAAGGAUCUCCAGCUCAGGGAUCCGAGAUAAGCAAAAGUUUGCAAAGGUAAACUAGUUUUUCUAGUUCUCUCUGGCUUUUGUAGCAGUGCAGAAAGAAGCCAUUCAGAGAUGAGCUUCACACAAGAAAGCCAAAGCCAUGCAGGUAAAACAUGUUUCUGAAUGCUGCUCUAAAGUGUGUCACUGGUUGUUCUUCUAGUCUUCAGAGACAACUAUAAAUAAACCAUUUGUUUGUUAAUUUCCAGGUUACGCAUCUUUACAACCAAAGUAAAAAUUAAACGUUAAUUAUAUUCAUGAUUUCCCUUCACAGGCUGAUGUAAAUCCUGACAUUGCUGCCAGAAAGAAGGUAAAGAAGCGGUUAAAGAAAAACAAGGCCAAAAAGCAGAAAAUCGCAUU